GGCUCCGGUGGCCUAAUGGUUAGAUCGUCCGCCUCGGAUGCGGGAGGUUGCGGGUUCGAUCCCCGGCCGAGUCA